UACGUAGGGUGCGAGCGUUGUCCGGAAUUAUUGGGCGUAAAGGGCUCGUAGGCGGUCUGUCGCGUCGGGAGUGAAAACUCAGGGCUUAACCCUGAGCCUGCUUCCGAUACGGGCAGACUAGAGGUAUGCAGGGGAGAACGGAAUUCCUGGUGUAGCGGUGAAAUGCGCAGAUAUCAGGAGGAACACCGGUGGCGAAGGCGGGUCUCUGGGCAAGUGAACGUGACGCUGAGGAGCGAAAGCGUGGGGAGCGAACAGG
rnacentral:rRNA from 1 species